rnacentral:rRNA from 1 species
UGGGGAAUAUUGCACAAUGGGCGAAAGCCUGAUGCAGCGACGCCGCGUGAGGGAUGACGGCCUUCGGGUUGUAAACCUCUUUCAGUAGGGACGAAGCGCAAGUGACGGUACCUGCAGAAGAAGCACCGGCUAACUACGUGCCAGCAGCCGCGGUAAUACGUAGGGUGCGAGCGUUGUCCGGAAUUACUGGGCGUAAAGAGCUCGUAGGCGGUUUGUCACGUCGUCUGUGAAAUCCUAGGGCUUAACCCUGGACGUGCAGGCGAUACGGGCUGACUUGAGUACUACAGAGGAGACUGGAAUUUCUGGUGUAGCGGUGGAAUGCACAGAUAUCAGGAAGAGCACCGAUGGCGAAGGCAGGUCUCUGGGUAGUAACUGACGCUGAGGAGCGAAAGCAUGGGUAGCGAACAGG